rnacentral:lncRNA from 1 species
GUUGUCAUGGCUCUUUAGUAACCUACUCUGAAUUUGUCUGAUGGUUUCCUCAUGAUCAGAUUCUUCGGAGAAGAACUCUACAAAGGAAAGACUGCAUUGUAGUUCUUUGGACAAUUCCUGGAGAAAUCAUGAGAUAUGACUCUCUCACUUGUAGAAUCACAGCAAAGGCUCCGUCCUACUGAACAUUGAUGGAACAAAGGCAAACAAAACCAAAACAAAACAGCCAAACUGAUGCUGGGAAAGAGAUGGAUGUGUCACCAUUGCUGAGGAUAAAUACCGUGGAAGCUGCACCUGGCCAAGAGGAAGGAGACACAGCAGCAGCGGCAGCAACAGCUCCUGGAAGAUUUCACGGCAGAUAUUUUGAUGGUCAAAGAACUCACUACCCUGAUUGGUGCACACAAAAGAAUGGGGUCUGUUUGCAUGCAAAAUGCAAAUUCUGGAAUCAGUGAAAGCAAGCACUUCUCUGCAAAGUUUUGAGGAGGAUGGCAUAUUACAUUUAGACAUUAUGUCUUCUUGUGUUCCUCUUGGCUGUGACAAUUUCUCCGAUUUUCCUUAUUUUUGAAGGCUUUGGCAGUUUUGAAGAGUAUUAGUCAGAACAUCAAGUAUUCAUACUGUCAACAUGACCUGUUACUAUUAAUAACCAUGAUCUUCUGUUAACCUUGAUCAUCUGGCCAACGUAAUGUUUUCCAGAUUUCUCCAUUGGAAAGUUACUCUUUUUCCCACUUUGCCUGUAAUACCCUUUGGAAGGAAGUCACUAUGCAAAACCCACACUUAAGAGUUAAACCUGUGUAAUUGUUAAGUCGCGGUGACAACAAGGACUGCAUCCGUCUCGUGUGUCAUUUGUAUCCCUCGUGCACAACGUUGCCUCAAACAAACUAAGCAUUCCAUAAAUACUGGUUAAAUGGAGAAGUGGAUCGAUUAUUUCAUGCACAAACCAAAAAUGGAGAAAAUCACUAACACGAUCUCUGGAGGGUUUGGUGCAAGUUUAGCUAGUGACAGGACCAGAGCCAGGACCCAUGUGACUCCUCCUCGGGUGCUCUUUCCACUGACUUUCUUGGGCUAUUUGCUUUAUUAAUGCCUUUCUUCCAAUCAUCACUUAAACAAAGACAAGUGAAAAGAAGUCUGACUUUAGCUGACAAUGGCAGAAAUCAUCACUCUGCUGAAUAACUAACAUAAACAUCAACUUCCUACAUUAGCACUUCAGGACAUCAGCUCAAAUAGCUCCAUCCCUUCUUUCCCUGCUAUUGUGUCCCUUAUUAGAAUAAUAAACUGAAGCUCAUAUCUCCUCUCUGAUUAUGUUGUAAACUUUAUUAGCAUUUCUGGCCUUUAAUG